rnacentral:tRNA from 1 species
GGGUGAUUAGCUCAGUUGGUAGAGCGCCUCCUUUACACGGAGGAUGUCGGCGGUUCAAAUCCGUCAUUACCCA